rnacentral:rRNA from 1 species
GACGUAGGGGGCAAGCGUUGUCCGGAAUUAUUGGGCGUAAAGCGCUCGUAGGCGGAUCGGUAAGUCUGUGAAGAAAGACCCGGGCUCAACUCGGGGAACGGCAUAGAUACUGCUGAUCUUGAGACAGUCAGAGGAUGAUGGAAUUCCCGGUGUAGCGGUGAAAUGCGCAGAUAUCGGGAAGAACACCCGUGGCGAAGGCGGCUCUCUGGGACGGUACUGACGCUGAGACGCGAAAGCGUGGGGAGCGAACAGG